rnacentral:misc_RNA from 1 species
AACGCACAUUGCGCCUAUUAGUAUUCUAAUGGGCAUGCCUGUUCGAGCGUCAUUUCAACCCUCAAGCCUUAGUUGCUUGGCGUUGGGAGCUUAUCUUGCCGCAAGGCGGGACAACUCCUUAAAAUUAUUGGCGGAGUCGCGGUGACCCCAAGCGCAGUAAUUCUUUUUUCUCGCUUUAGGUGUUACCGCUGGCUUCUAGCCAUUAAACCCCCUAAUUUUAUAAUGGUUGACCUCGGAUCAGGUAGGACUACCCGCUGAACUUAA